AGCACCUCAAGUGGUCAGGAUGAUUAUUGGGCCUAAAGCAUCCGUAGCCUGUUCUGUAAGUUUUCGGUUAAAUCCAUAAGCUCAACUUAUGGGCUGCCGAAAAUACUGCAGAACUAGGGAGUGGGAGAGGUAGACGGUACUCGGUAGGAAGGGGUAAAAUCCUUUGAUCUAUUGAUGACCACCUGUGGCGAAGGCGGUCUACCAGAACACGUUCGACGGUGAGGGAUGAAAGCUGGGGGAGCAAACCGG
rnacentral:rRNA from 1 species